AUCACUUCUUGGCCUUUUGGCUAAGAUCAAGUGUAUUUUUUUUAAACUCUUGAACAUGAGAAAUAUUUAAUAAAUAUUUAAUAUUUCAUUCUCUGUAGCUUCUGACUUGAACAACAAGCGAUGCUAUUUGCAAACAACCCAC
ensembl:snRNA U2 U2 spliceosomal RNA